GAUGAACGCUGGCGGCGUGCCUAAUACAUGCAAGUCGAGCGAAUGGAUUAAGAGCUUGCUCCUAUGAAGUUAGCGGCGGAUGGGUGAGUAACACGUGGGUAACCUGCCAUAAGACUGGGAUAACUCCGGGAAACCGGGGCUAAUACCGGAUAACAUUUUGAACCGCAUGGUUCGAAAUUGAAAGGCGGCUUCGGCUGUCACUUAUGGAUGGACCCGCGUCGCAUUAGCUAGUUGGUGAGGUAACGGCUCACCAAGGCAACGAUGGGUAGCCGACCUGAGAGGGUGAUCGGCCACACUGGGACUGAGACACGGCCCAGACUCCUACGGGAGGCAGCAGUAGGGAAUCUUCCGCAAUGGACGAAAGUCUGACGGAGCAACGCCGCGUGAGUGAUGAAGGCUUUCGGGUCGUAAAACUCUGUUGUUAGGGAAGAACAAGUGCUAGUUGAAUAAGCUGGCACCUUGACGGUACCUAACCAGAAAGCCACGGCUAACUACGUGCCAGCCGCCGCAGUAA
rnacentral:rRNA from 1 species